rnacentral:rRNA from 1 species
GAUGAACGCUGGCGGCGUGCCUAAUACAUGCAAGUCGAGCGAACAGAUGAGGAGUUUGCGCCUCUGACGAUAGCGGCGGGGGGGAGUGACACGUGUGGAUCCUCUACCUAUAAGACUGGGAUCAUUUCGGGACAGCGGCUCUUAUACCGUAUGAUAUAUUGCACCGCGUGGUUCAAUAGUGAGAUUCGGUUUUGCUGUCACUUAUAGAUGGAUCCGCGCCGGAUUAGCUAGUUGGUAAGGUAACGGCUUACCAAGGCAACGAUGCGUAGCCGACCUGAUAGGUGGGUCGCCCACCUGGGACGUGAGACGGGGUCAAGACUCCUACGGGAGGCAGCAGACGGGAAUCUUCCGCAAUGGGGGAAAGCCUGACGGAGCAAGGCGGCGCGAGUGAUGAAGACCCUGGGACCGGAAAGCCCGGUUUUUAGGGAGGAACAAAUGUGUAAGUAACUGUGGACGUCUUGACGGUACCUAAUCAGAAAGCCACGGCUAACUACGUG